ACCGCUGCCGCAUCUUGGCCGGCGGCGUCGACAACGCCAUGCUCCCCGCCGACUAGUUGAUCUGGCCCAGACCAGUCUUCCCAGCCAUCCGAAUCACACAUCGAGAGGAGCUGCAAGCCCUACCAUGAGCACGAGAGGGGAGAUGUCUCCCCGCCGCUGCCGCCGCCGCCGCACCGGUCCGCCGUCUCCGCCGCCGGCCUCUCUGCCAGACGCCGACGACCUGCUCCGGGAAAUUCUCCUCCGCCUGCCCCCGCGGCCUUCCUCCCUCCCCCGAGCCUCCCUCGUCUGCAAGCGUUGGCGCAGCAUCGUCUCCGACCCCCAAUUCCAACGCCGCUUCCGCGCCCACCACGGCAAGCCCCCUCUCCUUGGCUUCUUCCUCGACAAUCCUUUCUCCUGCCCGUUUGUUCCAAUGCUGGAUCCACCGGAUCGCAUCCCCGGCGCUCGCUUCUCCAUGCCUCUAUACGAGAGCAACCGCAUCAUCGACUGUCGCCACGGACUUGUCCUCUUCCUCAGCCCAUGGCCGCCGCGCCGCCUACUUGUGUGGGACCCCGUCGCCCGCGAGCAGCGCCGCCUCAUCUCCCCACCUGAGCUGGACAUCGGGCAGAUGUUCAUCUUCAACGGGGCUGUGCUUCGCCCUGCACGCGGCCAAGGCUGCAGUUCAGGCCAUUUCCGGGUGGCCGUGGUAGCCCGUGACAGAGCAUGUACUAGAGUCUCCGUAUGCCUUUACUCAUCGGAGACUGGGAUAUGGAGCAACAUCAAAUCACUGCAGCUGAAUUUUUUACCUGUGGAACAAACCAGUACUUUGAUUGGGAAUUCCCUUUGCUGGUUACUUCCGGUGCGUCGUCAAAAUGUCAUACUUGAGUUUGAUCUGGAUAAGCACACCCUAACUGUGACAGAGCUGCCAGCACCUAUAGAACCCAACUAUAAAAAGUUAUGGAUUGUGCCGGCCGAAGAUGGUGGGCUUGGCUUCAUCCAUCUCUCACAAUUUCACGCCAAAUUAUGGAAGAGAAAGCCUGAUUCUAAUGGUUUGGAUGUUUGGGUGCUCAAUAAAGCUAUUGAUUUUGAGGAGCUCAGACCAACUUGCAUUGGAUACUCUCUCGCUUUAGUGGGGUUUGCCGAGGAGAGUAAUGCAGUCCUUGUACAGACAGAUUCUGGUGUCUUCAUGGUUUAUCUCCGGUCAACGGGGUUUAAGAAACUUUCCAAUCUGAGUGUCUUCUGUCUCCAUUAUCCAUUUGAAUAUUUCUAUCCUGCAGCACUGAAUGCAUAACAGCUGGAAAUCGUCGCAAUAGUUUUGUCAUUUGUGGAAGAGCCCUGCUAUGCUUAGCAAGUUCAGUUGUAAACUGGGAAACAUAACCGGAACUUAUUAUUUUUCUUGUCAGGUACUGGCAUUGGUGAUGGACAUGGUGGAGAUGAGGUGUUCAACAAUAUAUGAGAUGGUUGUCUGAUGAGACAUGCUAGUAUGAUGCGAUGACUGAUAAGGUGACGUAACAUUAUCGCCUGGAGGUGUCCAUGGGGAUAUCUAUGGUAUUUUAGUAUUUAUUGGUGCAUGGGCUUUGACUGAUGAUUAUUUGUUAUGAAAGUAUGAACUCCCUUUGUAAUUCGUAAGGAAUCCACUACUGUGCCUAAGUAAUAGUAAUUGAGAAAAGUAAUUCAGAAUCCUAGUUAGUACAGUUUCCGUUAGCACACUAGUACGUUAUAACUGAUAUUCCGUCCGAGUCGGAUGUUGCUUUUGUUUUA